rnacentral:rRNA from 1 species
UGGGGAAUCUUCGGCAAUGGGGGCAACCCUGACCGAGCCAUGCCGCGUGAGUGAUGAAGGCCUUAGGGUCGUAAAGCUCUUUCGCCAGGGAUGAUAAUGACAGUACCUGGUAAAGAAGCCCCGGCUAACUUCGUGCCAGCAGCCGCGGUAAUACGAAGGGGGCUAGCGUUGUUCGGAAUUACUGGGCGUAAAGCGCACGUAGGCGGACUUUUAAGUCAGAUGUGAAAUCCCGAGGCUCAACCUCGGAACUGCAUUUGAAACUGGGAGUCUAGAGAUCAGGAGAGGUUAGCGGAAUACCGAGUGUAGAGGUGAAAUUCGUAGAUAUUCGGUGGAACACCAGUGGCGAAGGCGGCUAACUGGACUGAUACUGACGCUGAGGUGCGAAAGUGUGGGGAGCAAACAGGAUUAGAUACCCGUGUAGUCC